GGAUCCGUGUCGCCCAGCCUGCCCCCCACCCCGGAUCCCGACCUCCCUGUUUAGAGUUAUGACCCUUCCCGCACACUCGCGCCCCUUCCCUAUUUUUGUUCCGUCUAGGAAACCCAGCACCUUCUAACAGACCUCAUUUAAUGGCGUUUCUUGUCUGUCUCUCAGUGGAACGGGAACUCCAUGACGGAAGGGAUUUUCCAGAAACUCAGAUGGUACCUGGCCCUCAGGCAGCCCUCAGUCGAAGUUGUUGUCCGUGCGGUCAGUUCUGACGGAUGAGCUGUCAGUAGAAGCUUCCGGAGUGGAGCUCCCAACGGCCCCUCCUGAGCUCCCCCUGGUAUGGCAACGCCAGACGGUCCCACGUUCAUUCUGGAGCCCGUCACCAACCCUGGGAUGGAUCACCACAUAGCAGGAGCAAGACAUAAACCUGCAGGGUUUCGAGUGGCGGAGCUUUUCGGAGCAGUUUGUUACUGCUGCAGAGCCUGGCGGGUCCUGAGGGAUAGUCGGGAACUCACGGGGCUGUCGUGGGGAUCGGAUACUCUGGAAACAUUUAUCGAACAAACGUCAAAACUUAGCUCCUUGGAAAUCACUGCACUUGGAACUUUUUUGCAUUAAGACAAUGAAGGCUCCUGAUUAACCAAAUUAUGUUUUCCAAGAAAUGUAACACCUUAAUUGAUCCAGAAAAAGCAAGUCUACUUCUUACAAAAUGCAGUAGGAAUGAAACAAGGAGGUCUACUUUACUCUAAAAUUACUUCAGCAAGACCCAAAAUAAGUGAAGCAA